GGCGGUGGUGCACCCGUUCCGUCUGAUGACCUCCGAACCCUCUCUAAGACCAUCUGGAUCAACCUGUUUGUGUGGGUGGUGUCAUUUGUCAUGGUCCUUCCCGCCUGGGUCCACUCCAAAGUAAUUCUCUUCCCUGACGGACUGGAGAGCUGCUCCAUGAACCUGGUCACACCUGAAGAGGUGCUAUGGUACACCCUCUAUCAGACCAUCACAUCUUUCUUUCUGCCCUUGCCCCUUAUCCUCACCUGUUACACCUGAUCCGGUGAUCCUGUGUUAUACCUGGAGGAUGUCCAGGGAGCGUGGUCAAAUGGAGUCGUGGUCAUCAACCGUGGCAGGCACUAGAAAUCGAGAUGCCCACAAGUAUGAAAUUACAGGUUUUGCUUCAGUGCUAACAACUAGUCCCGGGACCGAGCCAUCUGGUCAACUUAACACUGCGGCGGCCCACGCUGGCCUACUACACCUGAUACUACCUGUCAGUGUACCUCAGCUACGCCGCCAGCAGCAUUAACCCUUUCAUCUACAUCCUGCUCAGCGGAUACUUCCGUCGCCGACUCACUUACCGCAAGCCGACCAGCAGGCCUAAUGUUGAGAGGGAGCCUUGUGGGCCCCAGGUCCGUACACCACAUUCCAGCUUCUGACAAUCCUGUCCUCAAAACAGGCACACACACAUACACACGCACACACAUGGAUGCAUGCACGCAUACAAGCGCAUCCCCACAUGCGCUCGCACCCCACACACACACACACACACACACACAUACACACACACACCACCACCAUUACAGCCUAUCCCCAGCACACUGCCUGGGGCAUUACCUAUGGCAGGAGAAUUACCUUUUGGUCAAGGAGUGCUUUAAUUUACAUUGUGGAUUGACUGAUCCUCAACAGGAUCAGAGUGUUAUCAUUUAUUUUCUAUUAUGGUUUUCAAAUGGACUGUACGGUAGAAUACUGUAGUUAUUACAUUGUAAAGUAAUUAUGUUCACAUGAGUAGUUCCUGCUGUUAAAGAAAAUACAUAUAUUGCUACUGGAUCAGCCUCAUGGGUGGUUAGCAUAACACGCUAGGGGUUAUUGCCUGUUAGGAUAUUUUUGUGUUGCCAUCUUGUAAAGAUACUGUACUUGUGUUCAGAAUAUGGUUCAAACUUCUCAUGGUGGCAAGGCUCCAUCCAGAGGUAGAUUGGGAUAUUGCAAGGAUUGAUCCACUAUCAUUUUGGAUUCACCUGAAUGUGGCUGAUAUUACUUUCACUGUGUAUUUUAAUGUAUAACUAAAAAAAAUAUUUUAAAAAACACAUUUGAGGUGUUUUCCAUUAGCACAUAGUUUGGCAUUUGUUUUCAACCUAAAGUUAGUGUUGCUAUAUCAUUAAUUGGUGCAUUGAUUGUGAUGUGUGGGACUUUGAACACACAGAAACAUCUGUUCUACUGAACUGUAUCUACUGCUAACAGUGCUGAGACUGCUGAGUGAAUAAACAUUUAUUACAGAUAGACUGAAUGCUAAGAACUAGACUGGAAUCAUUGGGAUCGGUCCAGGGUGUUUUGGUAUUGUCUGGUGUUAACUGGGCUGGACUGGGAACUGGCCCCAGGAUGUAACGGUGUUACCAGUCAACAGACUGACCACUGGCCACAGACACACAGAUAGACAGUACCACCAG